rnacentral:rRNA from 1 species
AUUGAACGCUGGCGGCAGGCCUAACACAUGCAAGUCGAGCGGAGCGGCGGACGGGUGAGUAAUGCCUAGGAAUCUGCCUGGUAGUGGGGGAUAACGACCGGAAACGGGCGCUAAUACCGCAUACUAGCAGAUGAGCCUAGGGCGGAUUAGCUAGUUGGGGGGGUAAAGGCCUACCAAGGCGACGAUCCGUAACUGGUCGGAGAGGAUGAUCAGUCACACUGGACAUGAGACACGUUCCAGACUCCUACGUGAGCCAGCAGUGGGGAAUAUUGGACAAUGGGCGAAAGCCUGAUCCAGCCAUCCCGCGUGUGCGAUGAAGGCCUUCGGGUUGUAAAGCACUUUUGGCAGGAAAGCGGUACCUGCAGAAUAAGCACCGGCUAACUACGUGCCAGCAGCCGCGGUAAUAC